UCCCAGGCUGAAAUGAUCCUCCCACCUCAGCCUUCCAAGUAGCUGGGACUACAGGUGUGUGCCACCAUGCUCGGCUGAUUUUUGUGUGUGUGGUUUUGUUAUUUUUGUUGUUUGUUUUUUUUUUGGUAAAAAUGGGAUUUCACAGCUGGUCGCGGUGGCUCACGCCUGUAAUCCCGGCACUUUGGGAGGCCAAGGCAGGCGGAUCACAAAGUCAGGAGAUCGGGGCCAUCCUGGCUAACACGGGGAAACCCCAUUUCUACUAAAAAUACAAAAAAUUAGCCAGGCGUGGUGGCGGGCGCCUGUAGUCCCAGCUACUCGGGAGGCUGAGGCAGGAGAAUGGCAUGAACCUGGGAGGUGGAGCUUGCAUGAGCUGAGAUCAUGCCUUUGCACUCCAGCCUGGGCAAAAAAAAAGUGAAACUCAGAAAAAAGAAAGAGAAAAGGACAAAGAAGAGAGAGGAAGGAUGAAAAGAGGGAAGGAGGGAGAGAGGGAGGGAGGGAAGGAAAGGAAAAAGGGACAGAAAAAGGAAAGAUGAAAGGUCAAAAUAGAGACCACUCUUGACAUGUUGAUGGCAGGAGACCAUGAACAAGUGUUAACAACCUUCCCAGGCCACACUUUGAUUCACCAGCUGCCUAGGGGAGCAACUGACUCAAAGUUGGGCUUAGGAGGGAGGGGUCUGCAGUGUGGUGGGCACUUAAAAUACACAACAGGCCGAUUGUGUCAGGACGUUACUCCAAUGAGAGGAGACAAUUCAGGAGGACAGCUGAGCUCAGUGACUGAAAGCAAGGGACAGAUGCUUGAUGGCCUGGGCUCAGAUCCUACCUAGAAGCUGGGGGACCCUGGGAAAGGGAGAGAGUGACUUAACCCCUCUGUGCUCAGUUACCUGCUGUGUGAUAUGGAGGUGUUUAUGGGGCCUGCCUGUUAGCAUCAUGUUCUGAAGCUUACCCUAAGCAGAUCCAUAUUAAGCCUGAAGAAAAAUGACUGGCACUUCAUAAGUGCUAUACAAGUGUUCAGAUGUGAAGCCUCUGCAGGAAAAAGACAGACACGUAGCAGUAGUUGCCUCCAGAGAGGAAACUUGGUUGACUACAAGACAUGGAAGGUGGAAGAUCUCUUUCCAGCCUUUAUAUGGGCAGGAUGCCUUAUAGCUCCUCAAGGGAAUCUGCCCUCAUCUCCUCUGACCUUCAUAUGAGCCCUGUGGGAUGGGCAGAGCAGGGCUGUGACCCACAUUUUACAGUUGAAAACUGACAUUUAGAGGGGCUGAUUUUCCAAAGCCACACACUGAGGAGGGAUGGGCUGGAGCUAGGAAUGAAGUUGGUUCCCUGGAGCUGAAGAUCCAUCAAGCAGAAGCCCUCUGGGUCUCGCCUUGGGCACCUGAACCAGGGCUUCCCUCACUCCAUUUCCCAAAUCUUGUUCCAGGAUUGCUUUGGGAAGAGCUACUGUCCUGUGGAAGGUGCCUGACCCAGCCUUCUGCCUCUGCAUUUUAAUCCCUGACCCAAAAUAUGAUGCAGCCGAUCCCAAACAGAGGCCCCUUG
rnacentral:lncRNA from 1 species